AGGAAGAAGGACAAAGAACAGAAUGAGUUAACUGGAAAAAAAAAUAACAAGCUCAGGCUAUAGAUAGGACACUGACUCCACUCAAGGACACUGUUCACAGUUAAGACUUGGCUAACAAUCAGGAAAAGGAGGGCUUGAAUUUUCCCACGCAGCUAUAAGAUCUAAAACACACUGC